UGCAUGAAGCAAAGUUAUGAGUGUUUCAUGAACAAAGGAUUAUGAUUAAUCUAAUCAUAUUCAUGACAUCCAUA
rnacentral:snoRNA from 1 species